UACAGAGGUCCCGAGCGUUGUUCGGAUUCAUUGGGCGUAAAGGGUGCGUAGGCGGCGGGGCAAGUCUGAUGUGAAAUCCCGGGGCUCAACCCCGGAACUGCAUUGGAUACUGCCUUGCUUGAGUACUGGAGAGGGAACUGGAAUUUACGGUGUAGCAGUGAAAUGCGUAGAGAUCGUAAGGAAGGCCAGUGGCGAAGGCGAGUUCCUGGACAGUUACUGACGCUGAGGCACGAAGGCCAGGGGAGCAAACGGGG
rnacentral:rRNA from 1 species